rnacentral:ncRNA from 1 species
CAUCGCCGAUCUGGAGAGAGGCCGCUUCGACGGCCCACCGAAGGGGCAAGCGGCCCGGCCAUGCCGGCGCCGCGCAAACUCUCAGGUAAAAGGACAGCGGGAGCG